UACGUAGGCAGCGAGCGUUUGUUCGGAGUUACUGGGCGUAAAGCGUGCGUAGGCGGUUGUCUAAGUUUGGUGUGAAAUCUCCUGGCUUAACUGGGAGGGUGCGCCGAAAACUGGGUGACUGGAGUGUCGGAGAGGUAAGCGGAAUUCCUGGUGUAGCGGUGAAAUGCGUAGAGAUCAGGAGGAACACCUGUGGUGUAGACAGCUUACUGGACGAUAACUGAUGCUGAGGCACGAAAGCGUGGGUAGCAAACAGG
rnacentral:rRNA from 1 species